rnacentral:rRNA from 1 species
GAUGAACGCUGGCGGCGUUCCUAAUACAUGCAAGUCGAGCGAACAUACGAGGAUCUUGCUCCUCUGACAUUAGCUGCCGACGGGUGAGUAACACGUGGAUCACCUACCUAUAAGACUUGUAUAACCUCGGGAUACCGGAGCUAAUACCGCAUAAUCUCUUCUACCGCAUUGUUCAAUAUUGAAUGCCGGUUUUGCUGUCACUUAUAGAUAGAUCCGCGCCGCAUUAGCUAGUUGGUAAGGUAACGGCUUACCAAGGCAACGAUGCGUAGCCGCCAUGAGAGGAUGGUGGGCAACACGGGAACGUAGACACGGUCAAGACUCCUACGGGAGGCAGCAGUAGGGAAAAGUCCGCAAUGGGCGAAAUCCUGAAAGAGGAACACAGCGUGAAGGGUAAAGAAAGUCGAAUGGAAGAACUCAGUUAUGAAGGAAGAAAAAAAAUGUAAGUAAAAAUGGAAAUCGAGAAGAUACAUAAUCAGAAAGCAAAGGAUAACUACGCG